rnacentral:rRNA from 1 species
UACGGAGGGGGCGAGCGUUAUUCGGAAUUAUUGGGCGUAAAGGGCGCGUAGGCGGCCCGGUAAGUCAAAGGUGAAAUCCCUCGGCUCAACUGAGGAACUGCCUUUGAAACUGUCGGGCUUGAGGCCGGGAGGGGGUAGCGGAAUUCCCAGUGUAGCGGUGAAAUGCGUAGAUAUUGGGAGGAACACCGGUGGCGAAGGCGGCUACCUGGACCGGUUCUGACGCGAUGCGCGAAAGCGUGGGACUAGGCAAACAGG